GAUUAUAAUUUUUUAAUAAGUUUGUAAGUGUGGCAUAACAUUCUAGCAAUAUGUUUUUAUCUUUGUGUGCUAAUAAUACAUCAUCCAUAUAGUGAAAUAUUUGUAGUUCAGGAUUUUGAUUUCUAAGUGGCUGGAUUACUUUGUUAACAUAAAUUUGACACAUAGUUGGGCUGUUAGCCAUCCCUUGAGGGAGUACUUUCAAUUCAUAUCUCUGAUCAGGACUUUCAUGAUUCAGUGCAGGGAUAGUAAAUGCAAAACGUGGACUAUCCUCA
rnacentral:lncRNA from 1 species